AACGAACGCUGGCGGCAUGCCUAACACAUGCAAGUCGAACGACACCUUCGUAUCUAGUGCCCUACUGGUGCGUAGCGCCUGGGAACCUGCCCAUAUAUCCGGAAUAACUCCCCGAAAGGGGUGCUAAUACCGGAAAAUUGCUUCGUACCAAAGAUUUAUCGCCUUUGGAUGGGCCCGCGUUGGAUUAGCUAGUUGGUAGGGUAAAAGCCUACCAAGGCGACGAUCCAUAGGUGGUCUGAGAGGAUGAGCAGCCACACUGGGACUGAGACACGGCCCAGACUCCUACGGGAGGCAGCAGUGGGGAAUAUUGGACAAUGGGCGAAAGCCUGAUCCAGCAAUGCCGCGUGAGUGAUGAAGGCCUUAGGGUUGUAAAGCUCUUUUACCCGGGAUGAUAAUGACAGUACCGGGAGAAUAAGCUCCGGCUAACUACGUG
rnacentral:rRNA from 1 species